rnacentral:rRNA from 1 species
AUACGGAGGGUGCAAGCGUUAUUCGGAAUCACUGGGCGUAAAGGACGCGUAGGCGGGUUGGCAAGUCAGAUGUGAAAUCCUACAGCUUAACUGUAGAACUGCAUUUGAAACUGCUAACCUAGAGUAUGGGAGGGGGAGAUGGAAUUAGUGGUGUAGGGGUAAAAUCCGUAGAUAUCCCUAGGAAUACCGAAAGCGAAGGCGAUCUCCUGGAACAUAACUGACGCUAAGGCGUGAAAGCGUGGGGAGCAAACAGGAUUAGAAACCCUAGUAGUCC